rnacentral:rRNA from 1 species
AGUGGCGCACGGGUGCGUAACGCGUGGGAACCUGCCCUUAGGUUCGGAAUAACAGUGAGAAAUCGCUGCUAAUACCGGAUAAUGUCUUCGGACCAAAGAUUUAUCGCCUUUGGAUGGGCCCGCGUUGGAUUAGCUAGUUGGUGGGGUAAAGGCUCACCAAGGCGACGAUCCAUAGCUGGUCUUAGAGGAUGAUCAGCCACACUGGGACUGAGACACGGCCCAGACUCCUACGGGAGGCAGCAGUGGGGAAUAUUGGACAAUGGGCGAAAGCCUGAUCCAGCAAUGCCGCGUGAGUGAUGAAGGCCUUAAGGUUUGUAAGUUCUUUUACGGGAGAAUAAAAGUACCUGGAAAGUAUCCCAUAUCCUCUCCGGCUAACUCCGUGCCAGCAGCCGCGGUAAUACGGAGGGAGCUAGCGUUGUUCGGAAAUACUGGGCGUAAAGCGCACGUAGGCGGCGCCGCAGUCAGGGGUGAAAUCCCGGGGCUCACCCCGGACUGCCCUUGAAACUGCAGUGCUAGAUCUGAGAGCGAGUGAUUCCGAGUGUAGAGUGAAAUCCGUAGAUUUUCGGAAGACCACAGUGCGAUGGCACUCCCUGGACAGUAUGACCUUGACGGCCUAGCUUGGGACACUGAUCAUGCUGA